rnacentral:rRNA from 1 species
CCUACGGGUGGCAGCAGUAGGGAAUAUUGCUCAAUGGGGAAAACCCGAAACAGCCACCGCGCGUUGGGGAUUAAGGUUUUUAGAUUGUUAAAUCCUUUUGUGAGAGAAGAUAAUGGCGGUAUCUCACGAAUUAGCCACGGCUAACUUCGGUCCAGCAGGCGCGGUAAUACGGAGGGUGCAAGCGUUACCCGGAAUUACUGGGCGUAAAGAGUGCGCAGGCGGGCUUGUAAGUCAGAUGUGAAAUCCUGUAGCUUAACUACAGAACUGCAUUUGAAACUAUGAGUCUAGAGUGUGGGAGAGGUAGGUGGAAUUCUUGGUGUAGGGGUAAAAGCCGUAGAUAUCAAGAGGAAUACUCAUUGCGAAGGCGACCUACUGGAACAUUACUGACGCUCAUGCACGAAAGCGUGGGGAGCAAACAGGAUUAGAUACCCCAGUAGUC